CGGUGCAGGCGAGGGGAGGGCGGGAACGAGGGCUGCGGGGAGGGAGUCGCCUCGUAAAUCAAGCAGCCCUCCCCAAAGUGGAGACCUGUAAAACUGGCAGACGAGGAGCAGGAGCUUGGCCAAAUGACUCAUCCACAGAGCUCUAUAAAUACAGACAUGCGGGCUUUCCGAGCCUGCUGCUGCUGCUGCUACUGGUAGGCCAAGACGGGAAUACCCGAGAUGUCCACAAGAGGGCACCCUCGGCUUAACUUCUCCCUCUUCUCUAUCAUGACACUCCUGCACAAGCAAAGCUCUUAGAAAACGAGGCUUACAUACUUUAACUGACUUAUAAAUUGGAACGAAAACUCAGGAGAGACUUGUAACUUUCCAACCUCUCGCCGUAAACAGAUUUUAUUGCUCGCCUACGCACGGCAAUGUGACCCACAAAGUCCUCUUUUGCAUGGAGGAAUGGGAAAGGAAUGAAGUUUGUGACCCGGUGAACUCAGACCACAGCCAAAACCUUUGGACUUUGGUCAUCAAGCCGCAGGGACAACGCAGCGAGGAAUGCUUCCUGUGCUAAUGUCAUCUCACAUCUUUUUGGAGACCUUAAUAAAUGAGAAUUGGUUCUAUUGGAUAAUUUCAUUUUGAAUGUCUGUAAUACUUCAGUCACUGGCGGGCCUUCCCACCCAUCAAGUGUGAAAUAAAACAACCAAAUCCAUCCAUCCAUCCAUCCAUCCAUCCAUCCAUCCAUCCAUCCAUCCAUCCGCCAUCUUGAAACUGCUCUAAAUUAUGAGGGAGGAUUACAAUAUGUCUCAAUAAGAAGACUGCCUGCUCACAGAUACCUGACAUUCCUGAAUGGAUGAACCAGAUAAGACUGCAAGCCUGAUCCCCAUGAGUGAGAUUUUCCAAUGCGGUAUUAAGAUAUGUGGAAAGUCAAGCCUCUUUCAUACUGCCAAAAUCUGCCAUUAAAGUAACCUUUACGCAGAACAAGGCAAAAGCAGCACAUCGAUUCAGCAUCUUACGAUCCGAUGUAACAUGAAAAAGUGCAGUAAGCAUACUAUGCAUAUCUCAUGUGUUCCUUCUUUAGCUCAACAUCUGGCUAGCUUGUUUCAACACGACUAGAAUGUCACGAUUGCAUGGGUGCCCCGCAGACAGUUAUUGGCGGGAUCAAGGGAUUGUAGUCUAAAUAUUUGCUUCCCUGUAACCACGUUCUCCUGCCUUGAACUCCGCACAUUAAACACAAAUGCGGGGAGAAGAUGAGGAAAGAUGAGAGGAGCAUACACGGGGGGUUGGGGGCGAGGAAACAAGCAAGCGCAGGUGAAUUUGGGGAACUUUGACAAAACUUUACUAAAAGAGUCAAAAAUAAAAAAUGCAGCGAUUCCAGCCUAGGGCGACAUCAAACUGCGAGACAACAGACAUCUCUGUGACUUUCUCCCUUUUCCCCGGAAAGUCAUCAACAUAUCCCCCAGCCUCCCUCCCUCCCUCAUCACUUCCCGUUCUGUGUUCUGCACGGCAGCAAAGCAGUGGAAUAAAUGUGUUGUGCUUUUUCCUUUCA